AUUGAACGCUGGCGGCAUGCCUUACACAUGCAAGUCGAACGGCAGCACGGGAGCAAUCCUGGUGGCGAGUGGCGAACGGGUGAGUAAAGUAUCGGAACGUGCCCAGUCGUGGGGGAUAACGUAGCGAAAGUUACGCUAAUACCGCAUACGAUCUAUGGAUGAAGGCGGGGGAUCGCAAGACCUCGCGCGAUUGGAGCGGCCGAUAUCAGAUUAGGUAGUUGGUGGGGUAAAGGCUCACCAAGCCGACGAUCUGUAGCUGGUCUGAGGGGACGGCCAGCCACACUGGGACUGGGACACGGCCCAGACUCCUACGGGAGGCAGCAGUGGGGAAUUUUGGACAAUGGGCGCAAGCCUGAUCCAGCCAUGCCGCGUGCAGGAUGAAGGCCUUCGGGUUGUAAACUGCUUUUGUACGGAACGAAAAGGUUUGACUUAAUACGUUGGACUCAUGACGGUACCGUAAGAAUAAGCACCGGCUAACUACGUGCCAGCCGCCGCAGUAAA
rnacentral:rRNA from 1 species